AACCAGCCAUUCAUGUCUUCAUCUUCAUCAAGGUUGGAUUUAGCUACUGCAUUUUAAUGGUGACUAAUUUUAAUAUUUACUCCCCUUUACGGAGAGUUUAUUCAUAAUCUCUGUGUGACUUGUAUGCUACUUUUUG